AAUUAAUACGCCUCAAAAGCCAGGGUGUCAGCACAGAUCUCACCACCAUCUCCAUCAUGGUCACUGGAUAAGAGUCUGACACGAGGACAGAUGAGAGUAGCCUUGCGGUUCCUACCACAGUUAACCCACAGUAAUAGAAUGUCCCAGAUGGAGACUGGUGAGGUACAGAUCUGAGUGAAAGACUGCAAAAACCUUCCACCAGUCAGAGGAGUUAUCAUCGACCCAU